CGAACAAAAUGGAGGCGUCAGAUUUCAGCGGUUGGAGGAUUUCUCUCUUUUCUCUUUGGCUAAAGACCAGGGUACAUGGCAAAUUGGACAGGAAAAGGUCAAAGGUCAGGCCUUUUUUGCAGCAUACUCCGUAAAUCUCUCCAGGAAGCUAAUUUAGCUGGACGACCAAUCGUCCUAGAAGUUACUACAGUAAACAACAAUAAUGUUGUUUUGGGAGCAUUUUCAACCGAUAUAAAGCUGGACUUUACCGCCACCUAGUGGGUUGGAGGGUUUGGAUCAAUGAUAGAAGAAGGUCAGAAAUGAGAAAACUGAGAAAUUAAGGUUUUCACUGUCCCAGCCCGACUUCAAAUACAUCCAACAAUCAUCCAUCCAACUAUCGUCCAUCCAUCCAGCCAUCAUCCGUCCGUCAAUCGUCCAUCCCUUUGUCCGGUAAAUAUUGACCAACAUGAUUACAUUUUUGAACAAACAGAUGAAAUUCUGUCAGAGUUGACUGCCUCGAUGAGAUGAAGCAAACAGGAAGUGAUGUCAUUUCAUGGAGUCAUUAUAUAAGCCGUAGCGUUCAGAGGUCAAAGGUGAGGGAAUUGAUUUCAUGGCGUCUCCUGAGACGCUUUAGAGAAAACAUUGCCAGCGCUGAAAAGGGGGCCAUGCCGAGACGUCUUGGAUGAGUUUAACAGAUUCAUCAGGGAGGAUGAGGUGAACCAGGCUCUUCAUCGGCCCUGUGUCUGUGCGGAGACUCCCGCUGCCGGGAGCUUCACGCAGAACCGCUCCUCACACCAAGGGUGUGCCGAAUGGCAGUGGCAGCCAGAGGGAUUCCCAAGCAGAGCUGAACUUUUGAACCAGUUGCCUCAUCUCUCUUCCCAGAGAGACGAAUCCUUCCACCUUUGUGUUUCGGGCUGGAGGUGGAAGCAGACGCUGGACUCUCUGUGAACUUUUCUCAUUAACCCACUUCCUGCACCUCAUCCACGACACACAGCAUAGUGGCUCAUUGGCACAACCAGCUGCUGGUUCUACACCAACAUCCGGGACUGAGGAGCUGCUAACGUUUCUUCGGGAGAUGCUAACAUCUCCAGCCAGAUGUUAGCUUCCACUGAUUCUGGGGAAAUAUCGGGAAUGUAACGUCUCCAACUGAAUGGAUAAAGCUGUGUGUGAUAGACAUCCUAAGUGCACAAAAGAGCGUUAUCACAGAUCCUUCAUCCCAGCAGCUGAUAGGAUUCAUUGAGUCCGUUUUAAUCCAACUCCAGUCCGUUUAACUGGAAACUCCAGUUUCUUUCAUCACCUGCUCCACCUCCAGCUGCUGUGGUUCUUUCUCUCUGCUGAGUCAAACCAACCUGUUCCCCUC